rnacentral:rRNA from 1 species
UAAUACGUAGGUGGCAAGCGUUACUCGGAAUCACUAGGUGUAAAGCGCAGGUAGGUGGUUGGGUAAGUCUCUUGUGAAAGCUCCUGGCUCAACUGGGAGAGGUCAAGGGAAACUGCCUGGCUAGAGUGUGGUAGAGGAAACUGGAAUUCCCGGUGUAGCGGUGAAAUGCGUAGAUAUCGGGAGGAAUACCUAUGGCGAAAGCAGGUUUCUGGGCCAUCACUGACACUGAGCUGCGAAAGCUAGGGGAGCAAACAGGAUUAGAUACCCUGGUAGUCCUAGCCCUAAACGAUGCUCAUUAGGUGUGGGAGGUAUCGACCCCUUCCGCGCCGAAGCUAACGCAUUAAAUGAGCCACCUGGGGAGUACGGCCGCAAGGUUG